rnacentral:rRNA from 1 species
UGGAGCCUACGGGACGCAGCAGUGAGGAAUAUUGGUCAAUGGUCGGGAGACUGAACCAGCCAAGCCGCGUGAGGGAGGAAGGUACAGAGUAUCGUAAACCUCUUUUGUCAGGGAACAAAGACUGGGACGCGUCCCCGGAUGAGUGUACCUGAAGAAAAAGCAUCGGCUAACUCCGUGCCAGCAGCCGCGGUAAUACGGAGGAUGCGAGCGUUAUCCGGAUUUAUUGGGUUUAAAGGGUGCGCAGGCGGUCUGUUAAGUCAGCGGUCAAAGCCCGGGGCUCAACCCCGGCCCGCCGUUGAAACUGG